CUUGUUCUCAUAAGAUAUCAAUUGAGGUUGGGGAGACUGAGAUUUCUCGUCCCAAAUGGAUGUAUUUCAACAUAGUGAAUAUCAUAGCACUUCACCACGGCAUGAAAAAAUCCCAUCCAUGAAAUUUGAAAUCCCUGAAAAGCUCAAAGCUGUUGAUUUUGUGUUCAAGUAACGGUCCAGAUCCUCCAUCACGAUCGGCGAUUUGUUUGAAGUUUGUAGCAUAAGGAAUUUCAGAUCUGAAUAAUGGGCGAUUUUGUUUAAUAUGAAUUCGUAUAUAUCGUAGGGAAGAAAUUUGAUUGUGACGACGAUAAAUGUUGAUUAACCGGUGCCGGAAGGUCAAUAUAGUAAAUAUCUUCUCUUCCAAACACGGCCUAAUCGGUGAUAACAGCGAUUGGAUUUUAGAAAAUUUUCCAGAUCUGCUUUAAUUUUGUUCUUAAGUUCUGUAUCCAUUACAACUGUUUCCAUAGUUGCCUUAUGAGUAAACGAAAUCGAUCUCCGCCACUUGUCUCUCUGAAAUUCGAUAGCUACGUUAAUGAAUAGUCUCACCUCGUUUCUUUUCUGCUCAAUUUCAUCGAACAAUAUGUGAAUAUGUUGCAACUAAGGAACUAGAAUUCUUCACUUGUCUUUCUUUCUGAUCUUCAGAAUCAGCGAUUGUGAGCUAGUUGUUUUCAUUCAUCCAGUACAGCCUGGAACCAAGAAAAUUGUCCAAAACAACUUGAUUCGAGUCAAGAACGAGAUUGGUUUUAGUUGAUUUGUUACUUGAAAAAAGAUUGGUGAAAUCGGAAUCUUCCAUGCCCAGUAAAGAAUUCAAGUAAAUCUAUACUUUUCUGUACAGUUGAAUUUGCUUGUUGAAUUUUGGCACCUUGUAAAACUGACACACAUAGCACUUCUCCUCCAAGAAUCUCCACCAUUUCUUCAUAACAUGGAUUAAAGGCCUUUUUGACAAAAAUCUGAAAACUAUAUAGCCAAUAAUGAUUGAGAACGCUAUGAUGGUUAGAUUUGCAAGAAAAUGUCAUGAGGGCAAUCAAAGACCAGACAAAACUUGGGGAAGGAAAUAGAAGAGAAGCAACAGGAAAGGAAGACACCAACAGGAGGGAGACCCAACGGUCAAUUGAUGAGAAACGUUGUCGUUUUAUUUUGAUUUCAUUUGUGUUGUAAUAGGCAAAACACGCUUCUUUCAAUUCAAGUUUUCUUUUCCAAUUCAGUUAUAACUAUCAGAAGAGAGGGAGAGCAGGGCACGUGAAAAUGAUC
rnacentral:lncRNA from 1 species